rnacentral:misc_RNA from 1 species
UCAACCAUCAAGCCUGGCUUGUCGUUGGACCCCUUUACCACUGAAAUAUGUGGUAGGUCCGAAAGAUAAUGACGGUGUCGUGUUUGACCCUAAAUGCAACGAGCUUUUUAUAGCAAGCAUUGAAGUGGUCGACCGACCCAGUCUUUAAUCAUCAUUUUUUCUAA